rnacentral:sRNA from 1 species
UUUUAGCCCCGAUUGUAGUGUAAAGCCUUUUUGAGAAAAGACCUUAUUUUUUCUUGGGUUUACAAAGUGACCAGCGGAAACUUUGUAAACGUAUAGAAAAAUGGGAUUUUAAGAAAAGCUUGCAACGGAAAGCGGGUCCCGAA